UACGUAGGGUGCAAGCGUUGUCCGGAAUUAUUGGGCGUAAAGAGCUCGUAGGCGGUUUGUUGCGUCGGCUGUGAAAUCCCGAGGCUCAACCUCGGGUCUGCAGUCGAUACGAGCAAACUAGAGUGUUGCAGGGGAGACUGGAAUUCCUGGUGUAGCGGUGAAAUGCGCAGAUAUCAGGAGGAACACCCGGUGGCGAAGGCGGGUCUCUGGGCAACAA
rnacentral:rRNA from 1 species